AAAUAAGCUCAAAGGACCACUUCCUGCCAGUAAUGGCUCAAAUUUUACAUCCAGUGCUUAUGGGAUGAAUGCCUCUGGUGCCAAACCUACUGGUCUUUGUCGUUUAUCUCAACUGAGAGUUGCUGAUUUCUCCUUCAACUUCUUCUUUGGUAGCAUACCGAAGUGUCUGGAUUACCUUUCAAAAACUAGCUUUCAAGGAAAUUGCCUUCAAGCAAAAGAUCCCAGGCAGCGUUCUACUGCUUUAUGUGGAGGCACUCCACCUGCCAAAAGCAAUCCAGCACAGAGCAAUAAUAAGCACCGGACUGUUGAUGGAAGAGACAAACAUAAGUCUGCUUCAAAACCUACCUGGCUUUUUGUGUUAGAACUGGUAACUGGAGUUAUUGCAGGUUCUCUCUUCCUUGUGGCUAUUCUGGCUGCCAUUCAGAAGUGUAAGAACAGAUCUUCAAUUAUCAUCCCUUGGAAGAAAUCAGCAAGU
rnacentral:misc_RNA from 1 species